rnacentral:tRNA from 1 species
GCCGCUNUGGUGAAAUUGGUAGACA